UACAGAGGUCCCAAGCGUUGUUCGGAUUCACUGGGCGUAAAGGGUGCGUAGGUGGUGAGGUAAGUCGGAUGUGAAAUCUCGGAGCUUAACUCCGAAACUGCAUUGGAAACUACCUUGCUCGAGGGUUGGAGGGGGGACUGGAAUUCUCGGUGUAGCAGUGAAAUGCGUAGAUAUCGAGAGGAACACCAGUGGCGAAGGCGAGUCCCUGGACAACUCCUGACACUGAGGUACGAAAGCGUGGGGAGCGAACAGG
rnacentral:rRNA from 1 species